AUUUAGCCCCGAUUGUAGCGGCAUCCCUCGCCUUUUCGGGCGAGGAUACAGCAAAAAGCGGGAUCAAUG
rnacentral:sRNA from 1 species